UACAGAGGGUGCAAGCGUUGUUCGGAAUUAUUGGGCGUAAAGGGCGUGUAGGCGGCUCUUUAAGUCUUCUGUGAAAUCUACGGGCUUAACCUGUAACGUGCAGAGGAUACUGAGGAGCUUGAGUGUCGGAGAGGAUAGUGGAAUUCCCGGUGUAGAGGUGAAAUUCGUAGAGAUCGGGAGGAACACCAGUGGCGAAGGCGACUGUCUGGCUGACAACUGACGCUGAGACUCGAAAGCAUGGGGAGCAAACAGG
rnacentral:rRNA from 1 species